rnacentral:rRNA from 1 species
AACGAACGCUGGCGGCAUGCCAAACACAUGCAAGUCGAACGAGACCUUCGGGUCUAGUGGCGCACGGGUGCGUAACGCGUGGGAACCUGCCCUUAGGUUCGGAAUAACUCCCCGAAAGGGGUGCUAAUACCGGAUAAUGUCUUCGGACCAAAGAUUUAUCGCCUUUGGAUGGGCCCGCGUUGGAUUAGCUAGUUGGUAGGGUAAAAGCCUACUAAGGCGACGAUCCAUAGCUGGUCUGAGAGGAUGAUCAGCCACACUGGGACUGAGACACGGCCCAGACUCCUACGGGAAGCAGCAGUGGGGAAUAUUGGACAAUGGGCGAAAGCCUGAUCCAGCAAUGCCGCGUGAGUGAUGAAGGCCUUAGGGUUGUAAAGCUCUUUUACCCGGGAUGAUAAUGACAGUACCGGGAGAAUAAGCUCCGGCUAACUCCGUG